rnacentral:rRNA from 1 species
GACGAACGCUGGCGGCGUGCUUAACACAUGCAAGUCGAACGGAAAGGCCCUGCUUUUGUGGGGUGCUCGAGUGGCGAACGGGUGAGUAACACGUGAGUAACCUGCCCUUGACUUUGGGAUAACUUCAGGAAACUGGGGCUAAUACCGGAUAGGAGCUCCUGCUGCAUGGUGGGGGUUGGAAAGUUUCGGCGGUUUGGGAUGGACUCGCGGCUUAUCAGCUUGUUGGUGGGGUAGUGGCUUACCAAGGCUUUGACGGGUAGCCGGCCUGAGAGGGUGACCGGCCACAUUGGGACUGAGAUACGGCCCAGACUCCUACGGGAGGCAGCAGUGGGGAAUAUUGCACAAUGGGCGGAAGCCUGAUGCAGCAACGCCGCGUGCGGGAUGACGGCCUUCGGGUUGUAAACCGCUUUCGCCUGUGACGAAGCGUGAGUGACGGUAAUGGGUAAAGAAGCACCGGCUAACUAUGUG